GGGGAUGAUUUGGCUUUGACAGCGUGACGAGUCGGUGGGUAAGCAUGCAGAGCGACGGUGCCUGUGCUCUUUAAAAUCCUGACAUCAUAAAUUUUAACUGGCGAAAACAACUACGCUCUCGCUGCCUAGUCGAAGUAUAGUAAACUAGCUUUAUCGCUGCCCAAGGCGGCAGUGACGAGACAUCACCCGAUUGCCCUUGUUCCGAGGCGUUUCGAUAUGGUGGUGCUGGAAUAUCGGGAAUAGAGCGAGGCAAGCCUCGGGCCGAGCUUGAAAUUUAGAGGCUAAGCUGCAGGUUGGUGGUUUUGAUCCUGCCGGCAGACGAAAAUCAAGUCAAAACUAAGCAUGUAGAAAGCUCAUGGGUUCCGCGUUUGGACGAGGGUUCAAGCCCCUCCAUCUCCAC
rnacentral:tmRNA from 1 species